AGAGUCUGAUGGAGCACGCCGCGUGAGUGAAGAAGGGUUUCGGCUCGUAAAACUCUGUUGUUAAAGAAGAACAUAUCUGAGAGUAACUGUUCAGGUAUUGACGGUAUUUAACCAGAAAGCCACGGCUAACUACGUGCCAGCAGCCGCGGUAAUACGUAGGUGGCAAGCGUUGUCCGGAUUUAUUGGGCGUAAAGCGAGCGCAGGCGGUUUUUUAAGUCUGAUGUGAAAGCCUUCGGCUCAACCGAAGAAGUGCAUCGGAAACUGGGAAACUUGAGUGCAGAAGAGGACAGUGGAACUCCAUGUGUAGCGGUGAAAUGCGUAGAUAUAUGGAAGAACACCAGUGGCGAAGGCGGCUGUCUGGUCUGUAACUGACGCUGAGGCUCGAAAGUAUGGGUAGCAAACAGGAUUAGAUACCCUGGUAGUCCAUACCGUAAACGAUGAAUGCUAAGUGUUGGAGGGUUUCCGCCCUUCAGUGCUGCAGCUAACGCAUUAAGCAUUCCGCCUGGGGAGUACGGCCGCAAGGCUGAAACUCAAAGGAAUUGACGGGGGCCCGCACAAGCGGUGGAGCAUGUGGUUUAAUUCGAAGCUACGCGAAGAACCUUACCAGGUCUUGACAUACUAUGCAAAUCUAAGAGAUUAGACGUUCCCUUCGGGGACAUGGAUACAGGUGGUGCAUGGUUGUCGUCAGCUCGUGUCGUGAGAUGUUGGGUUAAGUCCCGCAACGAGCGCAACCCUUAUUAUCAGUUGCCAGCAUUAAGUUGGGCACUCUGGUGAGACUGCCGGUGACAAACCGGAGGAAGGUGGGGAUGACGUCAAAUCAUCAUGCCCCUUAUGACCUGGGCUACACACGUGCUACAAUGGAUGGUACAACGAGUUGCGAACUCGCGAGAGUAAGCUAAUCUCUUAAAGCCAUUCUCAGUUCGGAUUGUAGC
rnacentral:rRNA from 2 species